CAUAGCUCAGCUGGUUAGAGCGCUACACUGAUAAUGUAGAGGUCGGCAGUUCGAGUCUGCCUG
rnacentral:tRNA from 1 species